rnacentral:lncRNA from 1 species
UAUUUUCUGGCCACUUUCUUCCCUGUAGCAACUAUUUCUUUUCUCUUUAGCCCACCAGUGAGACAUGUUUAGGAGGAGGUUGUGGAGCCCCGCUCUGUGGGUGCUCUGCUGCACAACCAAGCCCACAUUGCAGAGUCUUCCUGAGUAUCUUCCAGGGUCUGAGCUCCACUGAGCAUUUGUCUUGGCUCUGUUCUGUUCAGCUCCUUCCCUGCACCUUCAGAGGCAAGCCUCUUCCCCAAAAUCCACGCUGUUUGGCAUUCAUCCUGCAGCCAAAGAGAGCUCCUUCAGCAGUGGGAUCUGCCCAAGAGGCAAUGGGAAUGGUCAUCUCACUCCUACUGACUUGCCUGGAAAUUCAGUAUCAGGAUGCACACGAAGCCACUGGAUGUACUGAGAGUCUUCAGGACUGUGAUGAUCCUCUGUUCAGUUAA